GAUUUUCACAGUCUUCCAGUGGCACAAGACCGUACAUGCCUCCGGAGUAUUAUGACAGAGGCUUUUACCAUGCAAAGCCCGCAACAGUGUUUUCACUGGGGGUGCUUCUGUUCUGUUCUGUUCGUAAUGCUGCCUGGAUGUUUUCCACAAGCCAGUGAAUUAUACUUCUUGAGCAAUGACCAGUCCAUGUUUGCUGUGUCACAAGAAUGCAUCUAUUUUUUGUCGGCUUGUCUGCAGAGUCAUACAGAGAACAGGAUUCUUCUGGAGCAAAUGUCUUAUCAUGACUGGUUGAUGUUGGGUUUUCAUAAACACCCACCACGUAAUUACAUCUAACCUGCAUUCCCAUCAUCGAUAAAAGUCACUGCAUAAGACAUGGAGAAAAGCAGAAAACGGCCACCCAGUGGUUUUCUCUCUUCAGUCAGCAUUGUGUCUGGCAGGCUAACAUGAGUGUCAUUUCUGUCCCUUAGGGAUGUUUAAACAUUGUAUAUUGUAUAUACCGUAAACAGUUUUAUACUUUUUAUAUUUGAAAUAUGUAUUAUAUUAUCCCUCC
ensembl:lncRNA